rnacentral:lncRNA from 1 species
AUGGAUUUAGCUGUUUUCAAAAAUGAUAAAAAUUUGUCAUUAAAUGGAAUUAAUAAAAUGGUGGAUGAUGUUUAUAAUGAAAACUUAAAGUUUUUGUUAAAGAAAAAUAAAAGUGAGUUAGAAAGGAGUGAGGUAGACCAAUUUAGUCACCAAAUUGAGACGUGGUUAAAUUCACUGGAUGAAGAAGGAGAGCGGUUACAUAUAGAAAAAGAAAAAAUGAAGGAAACCUUUCAGAAUAUAGCUUUAGAAUUAAAAGAAGUAAAAAAAUCUAUUAAAAGGGCGGAAGAUUGUAUUAAUACAAAGGUUUAAAAUAAUAAACGCUAUAUUAUAAAUAUAGUUGUGUAUAUA